UACGGAGGAUCCAAGCGUUAUCCGGAAUCAUUGGGUUUAAAGGGUCCGUAGGCGGUUUAAUAAGUCAGUGGUGAAAGCCCAUCGCUCAACGGUGGAACGGCCAUUGAUACUGUUAGACUUGAAUUAUUAGGAAGUAACUAGAAUAUGUAGUGUAGCGGUGAAAUGCUUAGAGAUUACAUGGAAUACCAAUUGCGAAGGCAGGUUACUACUAAUGGAUUGAACGCUGAUGGACGAAAGCGUGGGUAGCGAACAGG
rnacentral:rRNA from 1 species